GGAAGGAUCAUUAUUGAAUAAACUUGAACAGGCUGUUGCUGGCUCUCAUUGGGAGGGUAUGUGCACGCUUGUCAUUUUUAUAUCUCCCAACUGUGCACAUAUUGUAGACCUGGAGUUUUGAUUAUUUGAGAUUGCUGUGCAUUUUUUAAAAAAGGGCCAGCUUUGCUCUGUGUUUCUAGGUCUAUGUUAUUUCACAAUCUAUGAAUAUGUUUAGAAUGUUGUAUUGGGUAUAAGAUUUAAAUAUACAACUUUCAGCAACGGAUCUCUUGGCUCUCGCAUCGAUGAAGAACGCAGCGAAAUGCGAUAAGUAAUGUGAAUUGCAGAAUUCAGUGAAUCAUCGAAUCUUUGAACGCAUCUUGCGCUCCUUGGUAUUCUGAGGAGCAUGCCUGUUUGAGUGUCAUUAAGUUCUCAACUAUGUCAAUUUUUUAUUUGAUGUAGCUUGGAUGUGGGGGAUUUUGUUUUGCAGGCUUUUUUUUUUUUUGAAAAGAGUCGGCUCCCCUGAAAUAUAUUAGUGGUAUCUGAGCAGAGAAACUACUACAGGUGUGAUAAUUAUCUAUACCUUGGGUUAUACUGCUAUGAACAGAUUACACUGCUUCUAACAAAGUUGCCUUGUGCGCAAUUGACAAAUUUGACCUCAAAUCAGGUAGGACUACCCGCUGAACUUAAGCAUAUCAAUAAGCGGAGGAAAAGAAACUAACAAGGAUUCCCCUAGUAACUGCGAGUGAAGCGGGAAAAGCUCAAAUUUGAAAUCUGGCAGUUCUUGACUGUCCGAGUUGUAAUCUAGAGAAGUGUUACCUGUGCUGGACCGUGUCCAAGUCUUCUGGAAUGGAGCAUCAUAGAGGGUGAGAAUCCCGUCUUUGACAUGGACUACCAGUAUGUUAUGGUGCGCUCUCAAAGAGUCGAGUUGUUUGGGAAUGCAGCUCAAAAUGGGUGGUAAAUGCCAUCUAAAGCUAAAUAUUGGCGAGAGACCGAUAGCGAACAAGUACCGUGAGGGAAAGAUGAAAAGAACUUUGGAAAGAGAGUUAAACAGUACGUGAAAUUGCUGAAAGGGAAACGCUUGAAGUCAGUCACGUUGGCUAGAAAUCAGCCUUGCUUUUGCUUGGUGUAUUUUCUUGUUGACGGGUCAGCAUCAAUUUUGACCAUUGGAUAAAGUCUUUGGGAAUGUAGCAUCUUUGGAUGUGUUAUAGCCCAUUGUCGCAUACAGUGGUUGGGAUUGAGGAACUCAGCAUGCCGCAAGGCCGGGUUUCGACCACGUUCGUGCUUAGGAUGCUGGCAUAAUGGCUUUAAUCGACCCGUCUUGAAACACGGACCAAGGAGUCUAACAUGCCUGCGAGUGUUUGGGUGGAAAACCCAUGCGCGUAAUGAAAGUGAAAGUUGAGAUCCCUUCAAGGGGAGCAUUGACGCCCGGACCAGACCUUUUGUGACGGAUCCGCGGUAGAGCAUGUAUGUUGGGACCCGAAAGAUGGUGAACUAUGCCUGAAUAGGGUGAAGCCAGAGGAAACUCUGGUGGAGGCUCGUAGCGAUUCUGACGUGCAAAUCGAUCGUCAAAUUUGGGUAUAGGGGCGAAAGACUAAUCGAACCAUCUAGUAGCUGGUUCCUGC
rnacentral:misc_RNA from 1 species